rnacentral:rRNA from 1 species
AGUGAACGUUGGCGGCGUGGAUUAGGCAUGCAAGUCGAGCGAGAACCGUAGCAAUACGGGGACAGCGGCGAAAGGGACAGUAAUGUGUAGGUACCUACCUCCGGGUUCGGGAUAGCUGCGGGACACUGCAGGUAAUACCGAAUAACGUCUCCGGACCAAAGGUGUGAUUCCACCUGGAGAGGGGCCUGCAUCCUAUUAGCUAGUGGGGGAGGUAACGGCUCACCAAGGCGACGAUGGGUAGCGGGUGUGAGAGCACGACCCGCGUCAUUGGGACUGAGACACUGCCCAGACACCUACGGGUGGCUGCAGUCGAGGAUCUUCGGCAAUGGGCGCAAGCCUGACCGAGCGACGCCGCGUGCGGGAUGAAGGCCUUCGGGUUGUAAACCGCUGUCGUAGAGGAGGAAAUGCAGGGGGGUUAUCCCCUCUGUUUGACCUAUUCUAGGAGGAAGGACGGGCUAAGUUCGUGCCAGCCGCCGCGGUAA